rnacentral:lncRNA from 1 species
CCGGUUCUCCUGUGCGCGCCCCGGAUCCGCCACACACCUCGCCCCUUCUCCCUGGGCUCGCUCUCCGGACCCUAACCCCUUCCCGAGCGAGGCCGAGCAACGCUCUCAGCAGCUGAACUAAGACUCCGGAGGCCGCACGUCCCCCUCAGCAGGCCCCGCCUGGGCCUCUCGGCUCGGCUGCCCUCCAUUGCACCCCUGGCCCAACCGUGCUGACGCGGAAGGGUGGGGCAGCACGAGCUCAAGGCCCGGCACUUACUCGGGAAGCCACUGCAGUUACCAAAGAGUAUGUCGCUUAUUGUCUAAGAGGUUGGACUCCUGAAAGCCUGGACAGUGUCAUCAUCUUCACCUGAAGAGUGGAAAAAUUCAAGCAAAGAGUUUCUCAGGAAAUGACCAAGUAAAACAUCUGGAGUAAGUCAGCAGGAUUCACAGUGACUCCCCCCAACCAGCUGGUGGUGUUUCUCUCUGAAAGCAGCGCUUGGUACCAGUGUGAACUCUCUUCCUUCAGAAGUCUCAUCAGGUGGACGUAAUACGAGGGUCUGGUCCCCCAUACCUUGAGGACUCCGCUGCCAUCUGACAAUUACAGACAAUCCAAUUGUCCUCAUCCUUGAGGACUCUGCUGCCAUCUGACAAUUAGAGACAGUCCAAAACAUGCCACACUUUGAUCCUAAACACAUUCCUGGCUUUGGUCACUUUUGAAAAGUUCCUGAGUUAUGAGAAAUCAAUAAUAAGAGUGUUCAAAACCUGAACACUCUUUUUAGAAAUACCUGCUGGAACUACAUAUAUGAUUUAUGGGGUACUGUCUUGUAGUAUCUGGGAAAGUAGACCCAUCUAACCUGGAAUGAUCAUAGGCAACAAUGACCAAAAAUGGGGAUCUUUUGAUAUACCUAAAGUAAUUUAUUUGUGCACACCAUUGGAAAGAGCUGGUUUUAGAACCAGACAUGUAAAUAAGAGACUGACUUCCACUGGCACCUAAAAACUUCUAAAAGAAAUCCUGAAAGAAAAAGUCACCUUCAUUCAAGAGGAAAUUCAUAGAAUAGGACCCUGACAAGUACUCUUGAAUACAGGUUUCUGAUAACUUUGGAGAUCAUAUCAUUGGACUAAGUAACAACUUUCAGGAUAUAAUUGGAGACACUUGUUAUUUUACUAAGGAUUUGACUGGAAUGACAUAUUUUCAGAUAUGACCAGACUGCUUUGAAGAAUGGAGGUUGACUCUAUAGAGGCAAUUAGAAAGCCUCUUGGAAAGACUGGCCUGGUCCCUUGUCUACGUAGUUCCCUUUCAAGAUUUCUGUCCUGUGUUAAGUAAAGAAUGUCACUUUCUGACAGGCCUGGGAACCUCAAAAUAUUUCCGCUGUGUAUCUCUCAUUGUUUUAUUUCUUCUGAGAAAACUAAAUUCAUGGUACACUGAAGAGGUGAUUCCACAAGUGAUGGCAGCUAUAAAUCAAUGACUGGUAGGACUACCUGGGCAUGAGCCUUUCUGGCAAUGAGGGAUACCUUGACACUCAGAUUUUGAUCAUCAGUGCUUUCAAAAGGAAAGAUUUUUGAUCAAAAGGAAGAAAUGAGAAAAAGAACUUUUAUCUGAAGAAUGCAAGUCCUUUCCAAUUAUCAGAUCCAGAGAGGUAUUAAAAUGAGACGGCAAUCCUGUCCUACACACACCCCCUUUUGAGGCAUGUACUCAUCUUUUUAUACUGCUUACUAUUGCCACAAGUAGCUGAAAAUUAGCCUACUGGUGCUGCACCAGACAUUAUAACCCAUAUCCUAUAGCUUAAUAAUGGAUAGCCAAUCAACAGCUUAUGUUAUGUUAAUGUAAAUUAUUGGUAAAUAACUCAGGAACUGCCUCUUCUUUCCUUUUAAAAACCCACUUGUGGGCCGGGCGUGGUGGCUCACGCCUGUAAUCCCAGCAUUUUGGGAGGCCAAGGUGGGCGGAUCACAAGGUGAGGAGAUCAAGACCAUCCUGGAUAACACAGUGAAACCCUGUCUCUACUAAAAAUACAAAAAAUUAGCCGGGCGUGGUGGCGGGCACCUGUAGUCCCAGCUACUCGGGAGGCUGAGGCAGGAGAAAGGCGUGAACCCAGGAAGCAGAGCUUGCAGUGAGCUGACAUGGCACCACUGCACUCCAGCCCGGGCAACAGUGCGAGGCCCUGUCUCAAAAAAAAAAAAAAAAAAAAAAUCCACUUGUGGCUGAGUGUGGUGGUUCACACCUGUAAUCCCAGCACUUUGGGAGGCUGAGGUGGGUGGAUCACCUGAUGUCAGGAGUUCGAGACCAGCUUAACCAAUGUGGCGAAACCCUGUCUCUACUAAAAAUACAACAAUUAGCCAGCUGUGAUGGUGGGUGCCUGUAAUCCCAGCUACUUGGGAGUCUGAGGCAGACUCAAGACUUCAAGAAUGUCUUGAACCCAGGAGGCGGAGGUUGCAGUGAGCCAAGAUCACACCAUUGCACUCCAGCAUGGGUGACAAGAGUGAAACUGCCUCCAAAAAAAAAAAUCCACUUGUAACUGCUGCUACUCAGAAUGUAUAUUCACGGCAACUAGAAUCUAUGUUACUAAGUUGCAAUCCUCAAGCUUGUCCCAAAUAAACUCUCUACUUAUAUUAAUU